rnacentral:rRNA from 1 species
CAGUAGCCACGGUAAUACGAAGGGUGCAAGCGUUACUCGGAAUUACUGGGCGUAAAGCGUGUGUAGGUGGUUGUUUAAGUCUGUCGUGAAAGCCCUGGGCUCAACCUGGGAAUUGCGAUAGAUACUGGGCGACUAGAGUGCGGUAGAGGAUAGUGGAAUUUCCGGUGUAGCAGUGAAAUGCGUAGAGAUCGGAAGGAACAUCUGUGGCGAAGGCGACUAUCUGGGCCAACACUGACACUGAGACACGAAAGCGUGGGGAGCAAACAGGAUUAGAUACCCCGGUAGUCCCUGUCUCUUAUAC